UACGUAGGGGGCAAGCGUUGUCCGGAUUUAUUGGGCGUAAAGAGCGUGUAGGUGGCUCUAUAAGUCAGAAGUGAAAGCCCCGGGCUUAACCCGGGAAGUGCUUUUGAUACUGCAGAGCUUGAAUGUGGGAGAGGAUCGUGGAAUUCCAGGUGUAGUGGUGAAAUACGUAGAUAUCUGGAGGAACACCGGUGGCGAAGGCGGCGAUCUGGCCCAACAUUGACACUGAGACCCGAAAGCGUGGGGAUCAAACAGG
rnacentral:rRNA from 1 species